AACCUUAUGGACCUGCGGGUGUAUACCUGCGGAAGGAUCAUUACUGAGUUAGGGUAGUCACUCACUGCCCGACCUCCCAACCCUGUGUCUACCAUACUUUGUCGUUGCUUCGGCGGACCGGUUGACCAACUGGUCGUGACCGCCGGGGGCUGGCUCUGUCACCCCUGGAGAGCGUCCGCCGAUGGCCCAACCACAAAACUCUUGUACCGAAACGUGUCGUCUGAAUUAUAUUUGAGAAAU
rnacentral:misc_RNA from 1 species